UUUAGGCGGCAAGUGAAUAUAUUUAUAUAUAAUAUCUUUAUAUAUUAACUCACCAUAAACAUAUUUUGAUUUAGGCUUUUCAAGAGAAACCUAUCAUCGAAGAGUUUCAUGAAUCAAAUCACCUUACGACGUUAAGCGAGGUCAUCAUGGACAAGUCAUGGAUAAACAAGUCUCGUUUAUCUCAAGACUAUACAAAUGGUGUAAAAAAUUUCUUAGAUUUUGCUUUUGGCAAAAUUAAAGUGGACAUGUUAAAAUGUCCAUGUAAUCAUUGUUCUCUAUCCAAAUUGAAGCUAAGACAAGAUAUUGAAGGUGACUUAAUGUGUUUCGGAUUUCUAAGUUCUUAUACGGAAUGGGUCUUACACGGAGAAGAUGUCGAUACUACUGCAAAAGCAGCAGAAAUCAUUCAUGCUUCUGAUGACUCUAAUUCAACGGCAAAUCUCUUGGAUGACCUAUUUCCUAGGACGUGGACCUACACCUUCAAAGCUAUUGAAGAUGUCCAAUACUCCAAAUUUGAAAACGUCAAAUUCUGAAGUUCUUGAGCUAAAGUCACAAGUUUCAGGAUUGCAAAGUCAAGUCCAGAAUUUAGCAGGAAUGAUCCAACAAUUAGUUGGUGCUACAACUGUUCAGACUAAUGGAGCGGUGCAAAAAUUUAGUUGGUGUUUUGUCAAACUUGGCCAAUCAACCCAAUUUUGCUGAUAUUUUAUCAAAUUUGGUCCAUCAACAAAAUCCUGAGGUAUUUCACGAGGUCACGAGGAUUUAAAAAUAAAUAAAUCCUAGACCCCCAACUCCUAGGGAUUAAACCCUGAGUUAUAAAAAAAAACCAUAUAAAAUAUACUAUAUAUCUAUGUUAGUAUCAUUUAAAUUUUACUAUAUACAAAAUAAAUACACGUGACUAUUUAGGUUUUGUUACCAUAAAAUUCCUAAUAUAUUAGUUGAGAAAUAUUACAACAUUAUUUUGUAGCCACGUGUCAC